rnacentral:rRNA from 1 species
CCUUGUACACACCGCCCGUCACGCCAUGGAAGUUGGUUCUACCCGAAGACAGUCCGCCAACCGCAAGGGGGCAGCUGGCCACGGUAGGGUCAAUGACUGGGGCG